rnacentral:rRNA from 1 species
GGAUGGUAACAUUGGGGCUAGAUGUGGGGACCAUUCCACGGUCUCCGUGUCGCAGCUAACGCAUUAAGUUCCCCGCCUGGGGAGUACGGCCGCAAGGCUAAAACUCAAAGGAAUUGACGGGGGCCCGCACAAGCGGCGGAGCAUGCGGAUUAAUUCGAUGCAACGCGAAGAACCUUACCAAGACUUGACAUAUACGAGAACGGGCCAGAAAUGGUCAACUCUUUGGACACUCGUAAACAGGUGGUGCAUGGUUGUCGUCAGCUCGUGUCGUGAGAUGUUGGGUUAAGUCCCGCAACGAGCGCAACCCUCGUCCUAUGUUGCCAGCACGUAAUGGUGGGAACUCAUGGGAUACUGCCGGGGUCAACUCGGAGGAAGGUGGGGAUGACGUCAAAUCAUCAUGCCCCUUAUGUCUUGGGCUUCACGCAUGCUACAAUGGCCGGUACAAAGGGCUGCAAUACCGCAAGGUGGAGCGAAUCCCAAAAAGCCGGUCUCAGUUCGGAUUGAGGUCUGCAACUCGACCUCAUGAAGUCGGAGUCGCUAGUAAUCGCAGAUCAGCAACGCUGCGGUGAAUACGUUCCCGGGCCUUGUACACACCGCCCGUCAAGUCAUGAAAGUCGGUAACACCCGAAGCCAGUGGCCUAACCCGCAAGGGGAGGAGCUGUCGAAGGUGGGAUCGGUGAUUAGGACUAAGUCGUAAAAAGGGUAACCA